rnacentral:rRNA from 1 species
AACGUAGGAUCCGAGCGUUGUCCGGAAUCACUGGGUGUAAAGGGUGCGUAGGCGGCCUAGCAAGUCUGGUGUGAAAGCCCAGGGCUCAACCCUGGAAGGGCACUGGAAACUGUUAGGCUUGAGUUCCGGAGAGGAGGGGGGAAUUCCCGGUGUAGCGGUGAAAUGCGUAGAUAUCGGGAGGAAUACCGGUGGCGAAGGCGCCCCUCUGGACGGAAACUGACGCUGAGGAGCGAAAGCGUGGGGAGCAAACAGG